rnacentral:rRNA from 1 species
UACGGGGGGGGCAAGCGUUGUUCGGAAUUACUGGGCGUAAAGGGCUCGUAGGCGGCCAACUAAGUCAGACGUGAAAUCCCUCGGCUUAACCGGGGAACUGCGUCUGAUACUGGAUGGCUUGAGAUUGGGAGAGGGAUGCGGAAUUCCAGGUGUAGCGGUGAAAUGCGUAGAUAUCGUAAGGAAGACCAGUGGCGAAGGCGGGUCUCUGGACAGUUCCUGACGCUGAGACGCGAAAGCGUGGGGAGCAAACAGG